AUUAUAUGUAAUUAUUAUGAUUAUAUUUAAUUAGUCACAUAGUUGUGAUAAUUAAUUUUAAAUUAAUUUGAUCAAUUUAAUGACAUCCUAAUUUUAUUUAGUUUUGUUUAAGUUUAAUUAAACGAAACUGUUAAUUCAGGGUUAAAAUCCUGAAUCAAAAUUAAUGUUUAAAUUUUAAUUAACCAAAAAUUAUAUUCGAUCUAUUAAUUAAUUCUUAAUUAACUUAA
rnacentral:misc_RNA from 1 species